UCCAUUUGUUGAUGUCCAUAGAGAGGUCAACAGAAGGAAUCCCUCUAAAGUAGAAUUAGGGGCUGGAUCACGGGUAGACUUAGGGGUUAGAUUAUGGGGUUUCAUUGUACUUGAACAUUAGCAGAAUACAAAUAUGCAGUUUAAUAUUUUGAAUAGGGUUAGUGAUAAAAUGGUUAAAUUAGAUGUGUCAAAUGCUCCUAGUUAAACAGCGUGGAG